rnacentral:lncRNA from 1 species
GUGAUCAAAAUUAGCUUCAAGACGAAAAAUUCUUUCAUUUGUCCAAUAAAUAUAAAAAAUAAAAAAAAACAAGAAACCAAAUUUUUUAGUAAUAGAACAAGUAGAUUGUUUCUACAUACAUCCAAAAUUUCCCGUCAAAUUUGAAAACUUGAUUCACAACCUAGACAACAAUACGCCCGCCCGGGCCAGUUGGUGGUGGCGGUGGAGCUUGAGGAGGUAUAAUCUCAGGCCCCGGGGGAGGCGGAGGUACGACAUCAGGUGGCUGUGGCGGCAGUAUACCGGGAUUAGGGAGUGGGUUAUCAGGAAAACGUGGCGGAAUAUCAGGCACAAGAGGCCGGUUCAAGGGAGGUACCGGAAAAUCCGGACCCGGGUUUGGACCGGGCUCUAGUGGUGGAGGAUAUGGUCUGACUUCAGGUAGUAUAGUAGUAGUCGAGUCUACUUCUGGAGAGGUGGAAAUUCCAGGGAGCUCAGGAAGAGUAGAAGGCUGGUCGGGCGGGUCGGGUAGGGCAGGGGCUAGGAGAUGAGAUGCUGAGGGGAAUAUGGGUUUUUUGAGGAAUAGAAACUGUGUAGCCCCGUUUCCUGUCGUGGCUAGGGUAGUAGUAGCCGCGGAUGAACAAAACGGGAUGGUUCGUUUUAAGAGGGAGG